rnacentral:rRNA from 1 species
AGUUAGCAAUUAUACCGCGAAACUGCGAAUGGCUCAUUAUAUAAGUUAUCGUUUAUUUGAUAAUACUUUACUACUUGGAUAACCGUGGUAAUUCUAGAGCUAAUACAUGCUGAAAAUCCCGACUUCGGAAGGGAUGUAUUUAUUAGAUUAAAAACCAAUGCCCCCCGGGGCUCUCUGGUGAAUCAUGAUAACUAGUCGAAUCGACAGGCCUUGUGCCGGCGAUGGCUCAUUCAAAUUUCUUCCCUAUCAACUUUCGAUGUUUGGGUAUUGGCCAAACAUGGUGGCAACGGGUAACGGAGGGUUAGGGCUCGACCCCGGAGAAGGAGCCUGAGAAACGGCUACUACAUCCAAGGAAGGCAGCAGGCGCGCAAAUUACCCAAUCCCGACACGGGGAGGUAGUGACAAUAAAUACUGAUACAGGGCUCUUUUGGGUCUUGUAAUCGGAAUGAGUACAAUUUAAAUCCCUUAACGAGGAACAAUUGGAGGGCAAGUCUGGUGCCAGCAGCCGCGGUAAUUCCAGCUCCAAUAGCGUAUAUUAAAGUUGUUGUGGUUAAAAAGCUCGUAGUUGAACCUUGGGCCUGGCUGGCCGGUCCGCCUCACCGCGUGCACUGGUCCGGCCGGGCCUUUCCCUCUGCGGAACCCCAUGCCCUUCACUGGGUGUGGCGGGGAAACAGGACUUUUACUUUGAAAAAAUUAGAGUGCUCAAGGCAGGCCUAUGCUCGAAUACAUUAGCAUGGAAUAAUAGAAUAGGACGUGUGGUUCUAUUUUGUUGGUUUCUAGGACCGCCGUAAUGAUUAAUAGGGACAGUCGGGGGCAUCAGUAUUCAAUUGUCAGAGGUGAAAUUCUUGGAUUUAUUGAAGACUAACUACUGCGAAAGCAUUUGCCAAGGAUGUUUUCAUUAAUCAGGAACGAAAGUUAGGGGAUCGAAGACGAUCAGAUACCGUCGUAGUCUUAACCAUAAACUAUGCCGACUAGGGAUCGGACGAUGUUACAUUUUUGACGCGUUCGGCACCUUACGAGAAAUCAAAGUG